UUACUUCAUGGAGCGCGUUAGGAGAGAUAGAUGGAGCGAGAGAAGGAAGACGCGCUGAUGAAAACAGGUACAGACUACGAACAGUGAUCAAUCUCACAACUCUACAAGCAAUACAAAAUAGAGAGGUGGGCAAACACGGACUCCUGGAUAUACCAGAGGUGGGAUCAAGUGUCUAGGAAGAGUUACAAGCAUCCCCUGUCGACCGGUCGCACAUACCGUGAGCCCUAUAUCUUGAUCAGAUAACUUGCCUACGAUUUUACCGAACAACCCUCGUAUAUAUUUUAAGAGCGUUGAAAUUAUGUUCCUGGUAGUGACGUCAGCAACAACGAAGUGUCCAAUUGUUUACAUUAUUACUAAGCUUUGUGAUAGUGGCAAUUCUACACUUGGUUACACUAAUACCCGGAUAUAUCCUGGUGUCACGAGAACUUUAAUCGGUGCGUUAUCUGUAGGAUACAGCUAUUAACGGCUCAUUAGUCUGAACGUAUUGGAAUAAGACGUGGAAGGGAUGAGACUCGUUUUGCUGAGUAUGUAUGUUGGUCAGCUGCGUCUACAAAUUUCAGCAACAUAUUCUGAAUAAAGAUUUUUUUAAAAAUCAACA